rnacentral:rRNA from 1 species
UACAGAGGUGGCAAGCGUUGUUCGGAAUUACUGGGCGUAAAGGGCGCGUAGGCGGCCUGCUAAGUCGGACGUGAAAUCCCUCGGCUCAACCGAGGAACUGCGUCCGAUACUGGUGGGCUUGAAUCCGGGAGAGGGAUGUGGAAUUCCAGGUGUAGCGGUGAAAUGCGUAGAUAUCUGGAGGAACACCGGUGGCGAAGGCGGCAUCCUGGACCGGUAUUGACGCUGAGGCGGCG